UGAAGCUGCUUUUGGAAGCGGGAGGGGUGAUGUAAUCCCAGCAGGGUUUGAAGGAGAGACAUUAGCAAAAGCUCGGGGAGAGUCCUGGCCUGGGCUUGGCUGAGAGGCUUGGUUAAAAGAGGGGAGCAGUUUUCCUGGGAAGGAAAACAAAGGAGAUAGACCAGGGAAAGGACCUCCCCAUGGCCUCCCCUCCUAGAGCCCCUGGCAGAGCCCUGUAGAGGUAGCAGGAGAGGCUGCACCAAGACUGCUGCACUGUGUCCUUCUUCUCCCUCCUUUCCUCCUUGGAGCCCUGCCGGGGCAGGAAAAGAGAGGAGCUGCCUGUGAGGAGACUCUGAGCCUGGGAAGACCCUCCUGCAAGCCCGUGUGUGGCUGGGUUCCAGGCAUGACUAAAAGCUGUAGUGCCAAAAUACCAUGAGAGAGGCUGCUCCUGCAAAAUUUCUGGCUUUACCAGAAGGAGGAAAAUCUCAUGAAAGAAUCUGCUUGUGUUUUCUUUCCAGCCCUGCUUGGCAAGGUAAAAGAUCAAUGUGAGGAUAGUGCAUUUCAAAAGUAACUCCUACAAGGAUAUGGCAGCAUCAGUCCUUCAACCUCCAGCAAUGCAACAUAAUAUCAAGAAGCACCACCAAAGACAAGUCAUCCACCCAAGAAUGAUGUACAGACUCUGUACACUCCACAUCUGCAGUUACCAAACUGGGGAUCCAAGCAUACAGGAUGCUCUAAAUUGUUCUCUCUAUGUGGAUACUGAUAACUUCAAUAAUUCUCCAUAAUGCAACUUAAUGGACUCAUUCUAAAACACCUGCCUCCAGAGCAGUACAUCAAAGAGACUCAGACCCCACCGGAACUCUGAUUCCAUUAUGGACAGGUCAUCAAAGCAGGAAGUGGUGAAGAUCUUACAGAGGAAAUUGUUUUUGAGGGGGAGCACCAAAAGGAGAGAAAGGGUCUGCAAUUUGUGAAAUGGACUGAUACAUAUAUUUAGCCUAGAAAGCAGAAAUAGCUACUCCAGAUUUGGAAAAAUUCAGCAGUAGGAAAGUAGGGUAAGGUCCAGUUCCGCAGGACACUAGCAUGUUACGCCAGGUGAGAGACAGGGUUUACAAAGCGCUAUAGAGAGAUUUUCGCCCAUGAGGGCAAGUUACUUUCUUUUGAUUUUUCUUGCUGUUGUUGUUCCUUGUUCAUCUUUCUGUUCCUUUUAGAGAUCUGCUAUGGCUCCGCCUUCCAAGAAGCAUAAAACUUGUCAGUCAUUCAUGGCUACAUGAGGUCAUGUUGCACACUACACUACUGUCUGAGUACUCCUUGAACUACUUAAACUCAGGAAGAAAAACAAAGCAAAGUAGUUAUCCUUAACCUUACUAAGAGGAAGGAAUACAAGGGAUGAUGGGCAGAAAAAGGAGAAUACUGGAGAAAGUGGGCUUACCCUGCAACUGCAGUGAUGAAGUGUAGGAGGCUCAGACCAUUAAGGGGAAGAGGAAGGAAGUCUAGCUUGUGAAGGAUAACAAAACUAUAAAGAGAUAAAAGCAUGGGUACCCACCCAUGUCUUCAUCCCUCUUCAAACCUCUUCAAGUCCUCCCUAAGGAGCUGCUAAAAACAACCUGAACAAAUACGAAUGUAGGCUCUUGAGAGCCCCCAGGAUAUAGAACACACACAGCUUUUGAACGCACAACCCAGAAUGAAUGCCCCAAUUUGGUUCAGGGUGGUAGUCCUCCAGAGAGGAAAGAUUAUGCAGCGAUCAGAGGAUUAUCUACACCCAGAUCACCUAUGUAAAUUCUUUCUGGAUUGGACUCUCAUUCACUGAAGCCCUCAAGUAAAUUAGUCUGCUUCCUUUCUCUGCAUCUUCUAUAUAUUUGUAUCAUUCUCUAUUUCUUUCCAUUAUUUCUGUGAUGCAACAAUGUUAGUCAAAAGAGAAGCUGAGAAACGGAAGUAAGAAUGAAAAUACAUAACAUUUUCUUAUACGGGGACUGGAAUCUUCUGUGGGUUGUAGGCAGAGCCACUGCCAGCAUGACACGUCAUCAAAAGGAGAAUGGAGAGAUAGCAGCUAUGUGAGAGAACAAAACUACAUCCAUUUCUGGCGCCUGUAACUAAAACAGGUGUUCGUGAAUUGGAGACGUUUAGGAAAGAGCCAUGAAAACCAUUAAAGCACUAGAAAAACCUGCAUCAUGGUGUGAUAAGAGAUCCUAAAAUGAGAGAAAGUUGAGAGUAACUUACAGAUUUUAAUGAUCUAUACUGCACACACAAAUUUGAUAACAGAGGGCUCUUUAAUUUACAUAUUAAAGUCAUAACAAGACGAAGUCACUGGAAGCUGAAACCAGAUAAAUUUAGGCAUAAAUGAGUUAAAAAUCAUGAACAGUUAAAUGAGAUAAAAACCUUUAGCUGUGAGAAUAAUCCACUGGAACAGCUUCCUAAGGGUCAGAGUGGAUUCCCCUGCACUGUAAAUUUCAAAUCAAGUUUGAUUUUUACAUAUUUUUUAAGAUAUGCUCUUGUUCAGCUCUGUUAGCAGUAUGACUAGCUAGGGAAAGCCUUUCUAUUUAAUCCACAGUGAGACUGCCACCCCAAAUUAGGCAAGUGUAAAUCACAAAUAUGCAGAAUAGAUGGAGAAAGGUCUGAAAAGGAACAGAGCAUUAGUUAUUGACUGUUUCUAAAACGGUAUGUGUGCUUGUACCUCCAGAAGCCUGCUUUUCAAUCUUUGGUCUCAGUCAAGACAGAAAGUAUUAUAUUUACACCUUCAGUCUUGAUUCAGAAAAGACCAAAAGAAUGGCACUUCUUAAAAAUUGUAAAUAGCUGUAUUUAAUGCAGCAUUUUGUUAGAAAGCACAAGAUUCAGGAGGUGGUUUACAUAGCCAAUACUCCUACUGAUAUAAAAUGGGCAUAUUAGCUGUACAAUUUUGUAUGAGGCUUCCUUCACAGGAGUAGCACCAAAACUAUAUUUAUGCAGCAUCUUUCACCUGGGAUCUCAAAACACUUCAUAAGCUGCAUACAUAUGGCACUUUUUGCAUAGAGCCAUCUGGAGGAUGGUGGUUAUCAGUAAUGGCUAACUACAAGUACAAAGCACUGUGUUUUCUAGGGCUCCCAACUAAAAUGGAACCACCUGAGUUUUUCUCUUUGUCAUGCAAACAACUAACAUAGAGCAUAUAUCCUUUCAGGGGUGCAACACAUUUGACUUGAGCUUAACCAUGACUAUAUCAUCAAAAUGAACCGGUCCUGUGAGGUUUGUCGGUCACCUGUUUUAAUGCUGAGAAGGGUAUAUAUAAAAAUCUAGGGAGAGCUUCUGAGGUAAAAAAUUGGGGAGGGGGAGGAGGAGAGGGAAGCAGAAGCAGCUGUCUGGGGGAAGGCAGAAUUUGAAAAUCUGACCCCUGUGAUUUCAUUUAAAAAUGAACUAGUUGAAACUGGCUGCUUGCAGCAUCAAAAUUGUAAUGUAAGGAUUGUUUCUUUUUACAGAAGCUUGCCAACUCUGUUUGAAUCUAUUCUGGGAGGUUUCCGGAAAGCCAACGUGCCUGCGACACAACGUGAAUGUGCCCACAUGCUUGUCUAUAUGUUAUGGAUUACAGUGCGUAGACUUUACAUCAGGAAGGCAAAUACACAUUACUAUUACAUUUUAAAAACACACUGGAGUACUCUAUAAAUUAGAUUCAACAUUUAGGAUUUAUUUUAAUUAAUGCCCUAUCAUUUAUCUCCCAGUUGACUCUCAGCAGUCUCCUGGAGAUUCAUAUCUAAUUCUUGGAGACUCCAGGGCAAUCCUGGAGGGUUGGAAACCCUAACAGGAAGGCUGUUAAAAUGCAAACCCCAGUGCUGUGGUUAUGACUUAAAAUUUAAAACUAA